UCAUGGUGAAGAAACGGAGGUUGGGGUCGAUUACGUGGCGUUGCUCCGCAACGGAUGAAUCAAUCAGUGGGGAGACAGGUGCUUGCUCCCGGUUCCUGGUAGCGGCGGAACUCGGAGGUUCGCCCGGUGGGCGUCUACAGAAAGCUAGGUGAUCUCUUGAAUCGAUUCAGGAAAUAUGGAGUUUUCUUUUCUGCUGAUACAAUGCUGAAGGUGGGGUCAAUGUCACUGCAGUGACUUGGGUGACCUAUAAGCACUGCUCAUAUUGUGAGGUUCUCUUGGAUAUUCAGGAAGGAGCCGCAGAUGUUCCCGCCAAGAUCUGGGAAUGUGGCACACCCAGACAGAGGAUUCACCUUGCCCCUGGAAUCGAUGCUGACGGGGUACUUGAGCAGGUGGCCCUUCAUCUCGGUCACAUGGCUGGAGAUGAAUUUCUCCCAGUUCUGCUGUCCGAUGUGACGCACCUGCCUCGUGCACUCUAGGCUCUCCGGUCUGGUGAAGCUCUCCUCAAUGGCUCCAAUGUGCUCUGCCCAUAGAGACAUCCUGUACCCGAAAAUCUGCAGAAAAUAUGAUAUACAAAACAAGGUAGCAAUGUGACAGUACUGCAAUACCAAGUUACCAACUUAUCAGAACUGAGGCAUAUUACCUGUCCACGAGGAGCAGAAAGCAUAUUUGCCCAUGUAUGCUGGGGUUGGUAUGCAGCCAUUGCAAUCUCUGUAUCUCUAGUUCCUUCCAUGGAUCUCUGGUUGAUGUUAGCGGAUCCAAUUAUCACAUAUUCAUCAUCCACAAUCAUGCCUUUCGAGUGCACAUACACCAUGAAUCUCCUAUUCUUCCGAGCUUGGUCCUGAUUGGAUAUCCAAGUUGCAGCAUAAUUGUAUUUUUUGGGGAAAUCAGUACGUCCUUCAGUUUUGGGCAUUUCUAAAGUGUACCGGAAUCAGCAGCAGAAAACAGAACAAUAGUCUGCAGUCUAACCUGUGGGUUACUGGCUGAGAAUGGUCCACUAGAUGUGCAAGUAGUGUCCUCAGCUUCACGGUUACCAAGGCAGAAGAAAUUCAGGUAAUCCUGUGGCUCAUAUGUACCAUCUAGUCCUACUUCUUUCAAGGCCUUAUAGAUUAUCUCAUACAUCAUUUGCAUUGUCAUUUUCUACAUUGUAAAAGGAAAGAAAAGCGAGUUACAUGAGAUAAGUUACUAUGCUGUUUCAAAAAGAGUAUAUGGAAAAUGGCAAUUUUGCAACGCCCACUGUUGGCAAUCGCAAACUUCCAAUUUUCUCGCCGCAGAGGGUGGCACACGACUAAAGGUUUAUGGAAGAGAUAAUACACUGAUCCUAAACAAGGUGAAAAAAAAUCCUAAUCCUAAUACAGGCCAAAUUCUAACACAGAUAAUAAAUGGGUUCUAAGACCUAACCUGCCAAUAAAGAAUCCUUUGCGUAGGAGUACCAGUAGGAUUUCCCUCAGGCCACAUUGGAACUACUAUAUAAGCUGAAAAUCUCUCAUUCGAAUAAAUCUUGUUUGCAAUUUUCAGUGCUAUCUCAAUGGGUAUCAGAUUAUUAGCACCUGCAAUGUACUGUACUUCAGAGUCCUGAAUUUUGGAAACUUCAGAUGAUCAUAAGGGAGAAGUAGAUUUUUAUGCUCACCAACAUCUCUAUGUGAAUCCCAGUUAAAUGAAGAGCCAAGGAAGUACUGGUUCUCAAUAUAGAUGAAAUGUUGAGCACCUCGGAUGGCAUUCACAUAUGCUGUAUGCACGCUCAUAUCAAUCAGUACAUUUUUCCCACAAACAAGAUUCUGUUAAUCAAAGCAAAAGUUUGUAUUAAGCACAAACCAUGAAGCACUGCAUAUGUGGUCAACAUAGGUGAAAUUUGCUCAGGGCUCGACCAUGAAUGUCAGAAUUAUUUAUUUUGCAGUGAGUUAUGGAGCCCUUUGGUAGACUUACCUGCACGUCCCAUCUCUCUGGAUCAUCGUCGUUUGAAUAGAUUUCGUCGUCAAUAGCGAUAAUAUCAGUUUUUCAGGACAUCGUAUGCUGCUGGACCGUCGAUCUUGGAAUGCAAGUCAUGCCAUGGCUCUCUUGGGCCGCGAGCAUCUUCAACCUGAGAGUAAAUUAUCGGCACAUGAGGAUCUAACAAAAUCGCGACAAGCUUCCUGUCUCCUAAUAAAGGAAAAACAAAAUGGAACGAAGUUCCAGAACAACAAGGAUGGAAUUCUUUUUGUGGCCAUUGCAUAAGGUUCUUAGUAAAUUCAGUUUGAUACGGUAAAUGUGGAAAAACUACUCUCACCGCAAAAUUUGGGUUGUAGUAGUCUUCCUUGUGAAAUGUCUGAAGAGUUCGAAAUAGAGUGUGCUUUGGUGUAUCAUAUCGGCCUCCACAUAGAUCAAGUCCUCCCACAAAAGCAACAAUCUUCCUUCUAUGAUUCCCAGCAUCAGCAUCCAAGAUCACUGUCUUCUGGUGAUGAGUAAAGAUAGUGCCUGUUUCCUGGAAACGAUGGUUAUUACCAUCAGUGCAGAUUCCAGAUGGCAGUGUGCUUAUGUGGUUGUCAGAUAUCACAAUAGUUUAAGCUGAAGUAUAAGACCUGUUGCUUCACCCAGCUGUGCCUCUUCCCUGCAGAUCGUGGGCAAAGCAGUAUCUGGACCGAAGAGUGCUUGAAAAAUCUCCGGGUCUCCUCAUCCCUUGUGCCCAUGUAACCUUCCUACAGGCAAGAAUCCAAUAAGCAAACAGUGUUGUACAA